rnacentral:rRNA from 1 species
AUUGAACGCUGGCGGCAUGCCUAACACAUGCAAGUCGAGCGGCAGCAUGUAGUGACUUCGGUCACUAUGAUGGCGAGCGGCGGACGGGUGAGUAACGCGUAGGAAUCUGCCCUAUAGUGGGGGACAACUCUAGGAAACUGGAGCUAAUACCGCAUAAGUUCUGAGGAAGAAAGGCGCCGUAAGGUGUCGCUAUAGGAGGAGCCUGCGUCAGAUUAGCUAGUUGGUAGGGUAAAGGCCUACCAAGGCGACGAUCUGUAGCUGGUCUGAGAGGAUGAACAGCCACACUGGGACUGAGACACGGCCCAGACUCCUACGGGAGGCAGCAGUGGGGAAUAUUGGACAAUGGGGGAAACCCGUGAUCCAGCAAUGCCGCGUGUGAAGAAGGCCUGCGGGUUGUAAAGCACUUUCAGUGGGGAGGAAAGGUUGUAGGUUAAGAGCUAACAGCUGUGACGUUACCCACAGAAGAAGCACCGGCUAACUCUGUGCCAGCA